CUUGGUCAUUUAGAGGAAGUAAAAGUCGUAACAAGGUCUCCGUUGGUGAACCAGCGGAGGAAUCAUUACCGAGUACUAUAACUCAUAACCCUUUGUGAACCUUUAUACCUGUUGCUUCGGCGGCGCGCCUCCCGGGGCGCGCCCGCCGGCAUUAUCAGAAUCUCUGUUCGAACCCGACGAUACAUCUGAGUGUUCUAAGCGAACUGUUAAAACUUUCAACAACGGAUCUCUUGGCUCCAGCAUCGAUGAAGAACGCAGCGAAACGCGAUAUGUAAUGUGAAUUGCAGAAUUCAGUGAAUCAUCGAAUCUUUGAACGCACAUGGCGCCUUCCAGUAUCCUGGGAGGCAUGCCUGUCCGAGCGUCGUUUCAACCCUCGAGCCCCCGUGGCCCGGCGUUGGGGAUCUGCCCAGGCAGUCCCCGAAAACCAGUGGCGGACCCGUUGGGCCCUUCCUUUGCGUAGUAACAUCUGCCUCGCAUCGGGAGCCUGCGGGCUAUCCGGCCUCUAAACCCCCCUCAAGCCCGCUCCGGCGGCACCAAGGUUGACCUCGGAUCAGGUAGGAAUACCCGCUGAACUUAAGCAUAUCAAUAAGCGGAGGAAAAGAAACCAACAGGGAUUGCCCCAGUAACGGCGAAUCCCGCGGCCAUG
rnacentral:rRNA from 1 species